UACGUAGGGGGCAAGCGUUAUCCGGAUUUACUGGGUGUAAAGGGAGCGUAGACGGCAUGGCAAGUCAGAUGUGAAAGCCCGGGGCUCAACCCCGGGACUGCAUUUGAAACUGUCAGGCUGGAGUGCAGGAGAGGUAAGCGGAAUUCCUAGUGUAGCGGUGAAAUGCGUAGAUAUUAGGAGGAACACCAGUGGCGAAGGCGGCUUACUGGACUGUAACUGACACUGAGGCUCGAAAGCGUGGGGAGCAAACAGG
rnacentral:rRNA from 1 species